rnacentral:lncRNA from 1 species
AUGCUCCUCCUCUGCCACAUCAUCCUCCAGUGUGGCCAUCUGAACAUGCAGCCUGGCCUCAUGGAUAAAGCCAGAGUCCAGCUCAAAGGCUUCAAGUAUGAGCCAGGUCACCCUGACAAAGUGAUCCCUGUGCUAGGCCCGCUGUGGGGAUGGGGACAGUUACCAGCUGCUGAAGGGGGCUGUGUCCCUCAGCCCUCGAGAAUACACACAUGCACAUGCUCACAUAACACACACAGGAACACGCCUGUGUUCACACAGGCACACUCACCACAUUCACGUGCACACACACACAGGGAAGGCACACACACAGAAACAGCUGUGUUUGCCCACACACAUAUGCACACACAGGUAAACAUGUCUACAGGCACACACUCAUCGCACUUGCAUGCACACUCAUAUACACAAGUAUGUGCACAGAAGCAACUCACCACACUCACAUACACCAGGUGUGCUCAGAAGCACACUCACCACAUUCACAUACACAAGUGUGCACAGAAGCAACUCACCACACUCACACAAGUGUGCACAGAAGCAACUCACCACACUCACAUACAUAAGUGUGCACAGAAGCAACUCACCACACUCACAAAGUGUGUGCAAAGCAACUCACUACACUCACAUACACAAGUGUGCACAGAAGCACACUCACCACACUCAUACACAAGUGUGUGCACAGAAGCAACUCACCACACUCACACACACAAGUGUGCACAGAAGCACAGUCACCACACUCACAUACACAAGUGUGCACAGAAGCAACUCACCACACUCAUACACACAAGUGUGCACAGAAGCAACUCACCACACUCACAAAGUGUGUGCAAAGCAACUCACUACACUCACACAUACAAGUGUGCACAGAAGCACACUCACCACACUCACAUACACAAGUGUGCACAGAAGCAACUCACCACACUCACAAAGUGUGUGCAAAGCAACUCACUACACUCACAUACACAAGUGUGCACAGAAGCAACUCACCACACUCACACACACAAGUGUGCACAGAAGCACACUCACCACACUCACAUACACACUCAUACACAUAGGCAAGCCCAUGUGCACACUCACAGAUACAAACACAAGGCACACAGGUACACUUUCAUACAAAGGGAAGGCAAGGGGAGGAGGGAGGGAGGGAGGAAGGAAGGGAGGGAAAGGGAAGGGAAGGGAAGGAAAGGAAGAGGAAAGGAAAGCAAAGGGAAAGGGAAAGGAAUGGAAGGGAAGGGAAGGGAAUUAGAAAAAGAAACUUACAGUUUUGUUAAUCCUCUACUGUUAAUUUUUUUCUUUUUUUUUUUUUUUUUUUUGAGACGGAGUCUCGCUCUGUCGCCCAGCCCAGGCUGGAGUGCAGUGGCGCGAUCUCGGCUCACUGCAAGCUCCGCCUCCCGGGUUCACGCCAUUCUCCUGCCUCAGCCUCCCGAGUAG